AUUUUAUUUGGCAGCACAUAUACUAAAAUAGGAACGAUACAGAUACAGAGAAGAUUAGCUUGGCCCCUGCACAAGGAUGACGUGCAAAUGACACGCAGAUUUUAUUUUUUAU